rnacentral:rRNA from 1 species
UGAUCCUGGCUCAGAUUGAACGCUGGCGGCAGGCCUAACACAUGCAAGUCGAACGGUAGCAUAUCUUGCUUGCAAGAUGAUGACGAGUGGCGGACGGGUGAGUAAUACUUAGGAACAUGCCUUUGAGUGGGGGAUAACUAUUGGAAACGAUAGCUAAUACCGCAUAACGUCUACGGACCAAAGGGGGCUUCGGCUCUCGCUCAGAGGGUGGCCUAAGCGAGAUUAGCUAGUUGGUGAGGUAAAGGCUCACCAAGGCGACGAUCUCUAGCUGUUCUGAGAGGAAGAUCAGCCACACUGGGACUGAGACACGGCCCAGACUCCUACGGGAGGCAGCAGUGGGGAAUAUUGCACAAUGGGGGGAACCCUGAUGCAGCCAUGCCGCGUGUGUGAAGAAGGCCUUCGGGUUGUAAAGCACUUUCAGUUGUGAGGAAAGGUUAGUAGUUAAUACCUGCUAGCUGUGACGUUAGCAACAGAAGAAGCACCGGCUAACUCCGUGCCAGCAGCCGCGGUAAUACGGAGGGUGCGAGCGUUAAUCGGAAUUACUGGGCGUAAAGCGCACGCAGGUGGUUUGUUAAGCUAGAUGUGAAAGCCCAGGGCUCAACCUUGGAAUAGCAUUUAGAACUGGCAGGCUAGAGUCUUGGAGAGGGGAGUGGAAUUCCAGGUGUAGCGGUGAAAUGCGUAGAGAUCUGGAGGAACAUCAGUGGCGAAGGCGACUCCCUGGCCAAAGACUGACACUCAUGUGCGAAAGUGUGGGUAGCGAACAGGAUUAGAUACCCUGGUAGU